CUAGGUUGAGUGCUGUACCUGGAAGGACCGUCUCUGCCCACAUCUUUGUCUUCUUAGAACUAUUGUGUCUGGGAUUGCCUGGGUGGUGAAGGGAAGUGAAACCUCAGCAAUGACUGACAUGAAUUCUCCUGCCAGAA
rnacentral:lncRNA from 13 species